rnacentral:rRNA from 1 species
CGCCCGCCGCGCGCGGCGGGCGGGGCGGGGGCACGGGGGGCGUACGGGAGGCAGCAGUGGGGAAUCUUGCGCAAUGGGCGAAAGCCUGACGCAGCCAUGCCGCGUGAAUGAUGAAGGUCUUAGGAUUGUAAAAUUCUUUCACCGAGGACGAUAAUGACGGUACUCGGAGAAGAAGCCCCGGCUAACUUCGUGCCAGCAGCCGCGGUAAUACGAAGGGGGCUAGCGUUGCUCGGAAUUACUGGGCGUAAAGGGAGCGUAGGCGGAUAGUUUAGUCAGAGGUGAAAGCCCAGGGCUCAACCUUGGAAUUGCCUUUGAUACUGGCUAUCUUGAGUACGGAAGAGGUAUGUGGAACUCCGAGUGUAGAGGUGAAAUUCGUAGAUAUUCGGAAGAACACCAGUGGCGAAGGCGACAUACUGGUCCGUUACUGACGCUGAGGCUCGAAAGCGUGGGGAGCAAACAGGAUUAGAUACCCUGGUAGUCCACGCUGUAAACGAUGAGUGCUAGUUGUCGGCAUGCAUGCAUGUCGGUGACGCAGCUAACGCAUUAAGCACUCCGCCUGGGGAGUACGGUCGCAAGAUUAAAACUCGAAGGAAUUGACGGGG